GCCUAGCUCAGUCAGUAGAGCAUGAGACUGUUGAUCUCAUAAUGGUGGGUUAAAGCCCCACAUUGGGCA
rnacentral:tRNA from 1 species